rnacentral:rRNA from 1 species
GACGAACGCUGGCGGCGUGCCUAACACAUGCAAGUCGAACGAAGCAUAGCAAUAUGCUUAGUGGCGGACGGGUGAGUAACGCGUGAACAAUCUGCCCUGUACAAAGGAAUAGCCUCGGGAAACCGGGAUUAAAACCGUAUGACACUUUAGUAUCGCAUGAUAAGAAAGUCAAAUCGAAUAGAGGUAUGGGAUGAGUUCGCGUCUGAUUAGCUGGUUGGCGGGGUAACGGCCCACCAAGGCGACGAUCAGUAGCCGGCCUGAGAGGGUGAACGGCCACACUGGAACUGAGACACGGUCCAGACUCCUACGGGAGGCAGCAGUGGGGAAUAUUGCACAAUGGAGGGAACUCUGAUGCAGCGACGCCGCGUGAGUGAAGAAGGUCUUCGGAUCGUAAAACUCUGUCCUUGGUGAAGAAAGGACGGUAGCCAAGGAGGAAGCCCCGGCUAACUACGUGCCAGCAGCCGCGGUAAAACGUAGCGUGG